UAUGCGAUAGCGUGGACGCUUUAGUUCACGAGGAAAGUCCGAGCAUCACAGAGCAGGAUAGCUGCUAACGGCAGCCGAGGGCGACCUUAGGGCUAGUGCAACAGAAAAGAGACUGCCGCUUUUUGCGGCGAUGGUGGAAUGGUGAGGUAAGAGCUCACCGGAGUGCAGGAGACUGCACUGCCGUGUAAACCCUAUCCGAUGCAACGCCUAUUGGUACCGACCGUCAACGUCUGCUCGGCGGACGGACCCGGUAAUGGCGGCUCGAGCCUGUCGGCGACGGCAGGCCUAGAUAAAUUAUCGCACACGACAGAACUCGGCUUAUCGGUCUGGU
rnacentral:RNase_P_RNA from 1 species